CCUACGGGUGGCAGCAGUGAGGAAUAUUGGUCAAUGGGCGCGAGCCUGAACCAGCCAAGUCGCGUGAGGGAGGACGGCCCUACGGGUUGUAAACCUCUUUUGCCGGGGAGCAAAGGGCGCCACGUGUGGCGUCACUGAGAGUCACCGGAGAAAAAGCAUCGGCUAACUCCGUGCCAGCCGCCUCGGUAAUACGGAGGAUGCGCGCGUUAUCCGACUUUAUUGGGUUUAAAGGUGGCGUAGGCGGAUCGUUAGGUCAUUGGUCAAAUUUAGGGCACAACCCCCUUCCCGCCAUUGAAACUGGCGUUCUUGAGUGGAAGAGAAGUAUGCGGAAUGCGUGGUGUAGCGGUGAAAUGCAUAGAUAUCACGAAGAACCCCGAUUGCGAAGGCAGCAUGCCGGCUUCCGACUGACGCUGAAGCACGAAAGCGUGGGGAUCGAACAGGAUUAGAUACCCCAGUAGUC
rnacentral:rRNA from 1 species